UACGUAGGGUGCAAGCGUUGUCCGGAAUUAUUGGGCGUAAAGAGCUCGUAGGCGGUUUGUCGCGUCUGCUGUGAAAACCCGGGGCUCAACCCCGGGCCUGCAUUCGAUACGGGCAGACUAGAGUUCGGUAGGGGAGUCUGGAAUUCCUGGUGUAGCGGUGAAAUGCGCAGAUAUCAGGAGGAACACCGGUGGCGAAGGCGGGACUCUGGGCCGAUACUGACGCUGAGGAGCGAAAGCGUGGGGAGCGAACAGG
rnacentral:rRNA from 1 species